AGUUUAGUGAUGAAAAAUACUAAAUGAAUUCUGCCCAGUGUAGAAAAAUAAAUGGCCGCAGUACCCUGACUGUGCUAAGGUAGCAUAAUCAAUUGGUUUUUAAUUGAAGUCUGGAAUGAAAGAAAUAAUGAAGAAAUACUGUCUUAAAAAUACUGAUUUUAAUUUAUUUAAAAGGUGAAAAUACCUUUUUUAAAAAAAAAGACGAGAAGACCCUAAGAAUUUUAAUUAAAAUUUUUAAUGAUUAAUUUUUUGUUGGGGCGACAAAUUAGAAUAUUAAACCUAAUUUUUUAAACAGGCGAAUUUUUUAAGAAAUAAAAAAUUACCUUAGGGAUAACAGCAUAAUAUUAUAAAUGUUUGUGACCUCGAUGUUGGACUAGGAACUUUAUGGCUAGCAGUCAGAAGAGAUUUAUUCUGUUCGAAUAGUUUUAUCCU
rnacentral:rRNA from 1 species